rnacentral:rRNA from 1 species
AGAGUUUGAUCCUGGCUCAGAUUGAACGCUGGCGGCAGGCCUAACACAUGCAAGUCGAACGGUAGCACAGAGGAGCUUGCUCCUUGGGUGACGAGUGGCGGACGGGUGAGUAAUGUCUGGGAAACUGCCCGAUGGAGGGGGAUAACUACUGGAAACGGUAGCUAAUACCGCAUAACGUCGCAAGACCAAAGAGGGGGACCUUCGGGCCUCUUGCCAUCGGAUGUGCCCAGAUGGGAUUAGCUAGUAGGUGGGGUAACGGCUCACCUAGGCGACGAUCCCUAGCUGGUCUGAGAGGAUGACCAGCCACACUGGAACUGAGACACGGUCCAGACUCCUACGGGAGGCAGCAGUGGGGAAUAUUGCACAAUGGGCGCAAGCCUGAUGCAGCCAUGCCGCGUGUAUGAAGAAGGCCUUCGGGUUGUAAAGUACUUUCAGCGAGGAGGAAGGCGUUGUGGUUAAUAACCGCAACGAUUGACGUUACUCGCAGAAGAAGCACCGGCUAACUCCGUGCCAGC